rnacentral:rRNA from 1 species
GAUGAACGCUGGCGGCGUGCCUAAUACAUGCAAGUCGAGCGAACGGACGAGAAGCUUGCUUCUCUGAUGUUAGCGGCGGACGGGUGAGUAACACGUGGAUAACCUACCUAUAAGACUGGGAUAACUUCGGGAAACCGGAGCUAAUACCGGAUAAUAUUUUGAACCGCAUGGUUCAAAAGUGAAAGACGGUCUUGCUGUCACUUAUAGAUGGAUCCGCGCUGCAUUAGCUAGUUGGUAAGGUAACGGCUUACCAAGGCAACUAUGCAUAGCCGACCUGAGAGAGUGAUCGGCCACCCGGGAACUGAACCACGGUCAAGACUCCUACGGGAGGCAGCAGUAGGGAAUCUUCCGCAAUGGGCGAAAGCCUGACGGAGCAACGCCGCGUGAGUGAUGAAGGUCUUCGGAUCGUAAAACUCUGUUAUUAGGGAAGAACAUAUGUGUAAGUAACUGUGCACAUCUUGACGGUACCUAAUCAGAAAGCCACGGCUAACUACGUG